CUCCCGCCCGCACCUGAGGGCGGGCAGCGCCGGGCCCCGGCUCGACGCGGCGCGGUUCGCACUUACUCCGCGGGGCCUCCGUGGCGGCGGCGCGGGCCCGGCGGUGCCCCGGGAGCGGCGCAACCACCUCUCCAGACCCGAGAGCUCCUGGCAGGUAUGGUGGACGGCAAACCCUAAUGAAGGGUGUGGUUUGGCUGGAAGCAUCAGGACUUAGCACGCCGUACAAAUUCUCAUCUGAAAUGGGAGAAUCAGG
rnacentral:lncRNA from 7 species